GACGAACGCUGGCGGCGUGCUUAACACAUGCAAGUCGAACGGAAAGGCCCUGCUUUUGUGGGGUGCUCGAGUGGCGAACGGGUGAGUAACACGUGAGUAACCUGCCCUUGACUUUGGGAUAACUUCAGGAAACUGGGGCUAAUACCGGAUAGGAGCUCCUGCUGCAUGGUGGGGGUUGGAAAGUUUCGGCGGUUGGGGAUGGACUCGCGGCUUAUCAGCUUGUUGGUGGGGUAGUGGCUUACCAAGGCUUUGACGGGUCGCCGGCCUGAGAGGGUGACCGGCGACAUUGGGACUGAGGUACGGCCCAGACUCCUACGGGAGGCAGCAGUGGGGAAUAUUGCACAAUGGGCGGAAGCCUGAUGCAGCGACGCCGCGUGCGGGAUGACGGCCUGCGGGUUGUAAACCGCUUUCGCCUGUGACGAAGCGUGAGUGACGGUAAUGGGUAAAGAAGCACCGGCUAACUACGUG
rnacentral:rRNA from 1 species